UCACAUAUGUAAACAUUGGAUCAUGUG
rnacentral:sRNA from 1 species